rnacentral:ncRNA from 1 species
UACCUGGUUGAUCCUGCCAGUAGUCAUAUGCUUGUCUCAAAGAUUAAGCCAUGCAAGUCUAAGUACGAGCUCUCGUACAGUGAAACUGCGAAUGGCUCAUUAAAUCAGUUAUGGUUCAUUUGAUCGUACAGUUUACUUGGAUAACUGUGGUAAUUCUAGAGCUAAUACAUGCGAGAAGCGCCGACCUCGCGGGAGGCGUGCAUUUAUCAGACCAAAAACCGGCCGCGUCUUCGGGCGCGUUCGCCUUGGUGACUCUGGAUAACUUUGCGGAU